rnacentral:misc_RNA from 1 species
CUGGGGUGAAGUCGUAACAAGGUAGCCGUAGGGGAACCUGCGGCUGGAUCACCUCCUUUCUAAGGAUGAUCUUAGCUGAAAGUUUACUUUCACGUACAUCACUUUUUAGCAGCUCUUAAAUGAGCUUUAGUAGUCUUCGGACUACAUCAUAGACCGAACCGUCCUCAUAUCUCUUCAGCAAUAAUAAUUUUGCAGGUCAUCAAUCUGUUAAGGGUCGGUAGCUCAGGUGGUUAGAGCGCACGCCUGAUAAGCGUGAGGUCGGAGGUUCAAGUCCUCCUCGACCCACCAUAAAAUGGGGCGUUAGCUCAGCUGGGAGAGCACCUGCUUUGCAAGCAGGGGGUCAUCGGUUCGAUCCCGAUACGCUCCACCAUUUCCUUCAGAUUAUUAUAUCAAUUCCGAUUAGAUCAUUAAGGACUGUAAGCAGUUUUUUAAUCAUCCAAUCGGAUGGCGAACCUUCGGGUUCACUUUUACAUCGUUUAGAGAGCAUAUAAAACACGAGACGUAAGUUUCUUGUUUGGACCACUUCUUCGGAAAAGGUUAGGAAUUGAAUAUUUUGAGGCUGAAGAGCUUUGAGAGACUAGAUGGUUAGCUGGUUCGCAGUAUCAUAGGUAACUAUGAAGCAUAAUCAGACUAGGGUGACCAACCCACUGUGCGUGUGCUGUUGGUGAGCGUUCCAGUGCGGUUCGCAAGCUAAUUCAAAGAUAAUUUACAGUCUUUCCAAGUCAAAUACACUAACCAAAGUCACAGUGAAUUAGAUCUACUGUGACAUGAAGGGAUGCUCGAAAGAGCAUUCAUUCGCUGGAAUGUGCGUGACCUUCCUGCCAAGGGAGGGUUACAUUUGAGUUCAAAAUAAAAUGUUGUUUUUGCAAUUGCAAAACAAUGACGUGCCUAUCGCAAGAUAGGUGCUGAUGAACAAUUUUCUCAAAAAAAAUGACGACUUCUGUUCUAGAAAUAGUCUGACUAUUUCUGGAUCAGAUCAAGCGCGAGAAGGGCGUUUGGUGGAUGCCUUGGCAGUAAGAGGCGAUGAAGGACGUGAUACUCUGCGAUAAGCUUUGGGAAGUCGAGAAUAGACGCUAUACCCAAAGAUCU